rnacentral:lncRNA from 1 species
AUUGGAAUGAUUAUUUGUUUUGCCAUUGUUAAAACUAUUACUAAAGAGUCUUCUUGGACUACAAUAUCUUUUGGUAUUGCAUCAUCUGAGAUGGAAAAGUGUGUUAGGUAUUGCAAGGAGGAGUAUGCAGAUGAUCCAACAAAGAUGAAAGACUGCAUCCUACAAUAUCGGUAUUGCAUCAUCUGAGAUGGAAAAGUGUGUUAGGUAUUGCAAGGAGGAGUAUGCAGAUGAUCCAAC